UCAAGCAUACUCGAAUUACCACAUCGGUAUUUGGAUCUCAAGACCUUGAUCCAGAGAGCCUCCUUCUUAACAAGAAGAUUCCAACACAGCUUCAUGAUGCAUGCUUCAUUUUGUUUUCUCAAAUCUUUGAUGCCCAAUCCUCCUGCUUCCUUAUCACAGUGAAUUUGACUCUAGGAUAUCAAGUUCAUCUUUCUUGCAUUUUCAUUUUCUCCCCAUAAGAAGCUCCUACUAGUUCUCUCAAGUUGUCCAAUGAGUUUCUUAGGGAGAAGUCUAGUCUGCAUAUAGUAGGAUGGAAGAGCCGAAAGGACUGCUCUUAUGAGAACUAUCCGUUUUGAUAAAUUGAGACAAUUCCUUUUCCAACCUGUGAGUCUCCUCUGCGUCUUUUCCAGCAAGGGGGCAAAAUGGAUCUAAGAAGCUCUUCCACUAAUAAGAGGGAUUCCCAAGUAUUUACCAAGAUCCCCUAUAAGCCCAACAUCCAUCUUUUGACUGAGUUCUAUAGCUCUAGAAGAAUGCACAUUCUUGGAGAAGAUAAUCUUUGUUUUUACCUUGUUCAUUUUCUGUCCAGACACAUCACAAAAUCUAUUCAUGUAGUCCAUCAUUGCUUCAUUGUGAAAGUUAGAAGCUUCCCCAAAGAGAAAUAAGUCAUCCGCAAAGAAUAAGUGUGAAAUCUUAAGACCUCCUGGAUUAAGCUUGAUUGGGGCCUAGUAUGUGUCUUCAAUAGCAUCUAGAAUUAAAUGAUUUAGUCUUUCCAUGCAUAAAGUGAAGAGGAUCAUCCACCAAUAAAACCUACCCUUUUCUUAUACAAGAUGAGAAUCUAAUGUUAGGUUCCGUACGAGAAGGAAAUUUUGAUGGAAGUGGAAGCAAAAAUAAUAAAACUGGAUUUAAAAACAUGUUUUGUAUGUUGAUGGAAUUGUAGCAUUAUUUUAAUUUAAUGUUUUGUAUUUAUAAUAUAUGCCCUUAUCUAGACAUAAAAUACUAACCCCAGCCAAAAUAUCAAAGCCAUUGUGUCAUGAUUCCAAAUGAAUGGGCUAAGAAAAUGACCCAAAAAGUGAGCCCAAAUGGCAUAUGCUUGUACAGCCUGAGGAGGAGAUGGAAAGCAUGAAUAUUCUAAGAUGGAGGCAGUACAAUAGGGACAAAAUUGGUUAUGGGAGGGGUGUGGAUGAUCUUCUCUCUCUGGUCCCACUCUUGGAAUCCUCUCUCUAUAGCUUCUGUCUCUUUCCCUUCUUUCUGUAUCUUUCCUCAGUUUCUAUCAAUUUGUUUGCAAUACUAUUUGAAGUAUUUUCAUAUGCCUAUAACUAUAACUGGAUUGAAUAUUAAAUAUAUGCUGAUGAUUCCAUUCUGUUGAGGUAUUUUGGAAUUGAGAUCAUUACACAUUGUCAAUAACCAUUACCGGAAGUCAUGGCAACCACCACGGGAAAAGGCAAUUGUCACAGGAAAAUUACAAAACACAAUCAAAUACAAUGUAAUCAAACCCAGGUAUGGCAUUCUCUUGGAAGUAUACGAACAAAUUCUAAGGAAUAUAGUUAUUCCCUCGGUCUACCUCUAAAUGCAGGAGCUAAAUAAUUAAUUUAUAGAGAUUAAAGAAUUAGUGAGUAAACUUAGUUACUUUGUAAGAAAUAUUUAGUUUUUCUAAAAUAAUCUUUUAAUCAU